UCUUUCCUUGUCAUGGGGUUAAGGACGGCUCAAUGAAUGUAUAGUGAGAGUUGGCCUGCUAACACCAUAAUCAACACAACCGCAUCACCUGGCUUCCUGAAGUCAGACAAUGGUGCAAUUUUUGUGAAC